rnacentral:misc_RNA from 1 species
GUAGGUGAACCUGCGGAAGGAUCAUUACUAGUUUAGGGUGCUGAUCCAGCGCCCAAACUUCAACCCUUUGACUUGAUUAAUUUGUUUCUUUGCCGGUUUUGGCCGGCAGAAGUUUUCUCAAACCCAUUAGAAAUUUGUCCUCUGAACUUCAAAAAAUAAUAAUUAAAACUUUCAACAACGGAUCUCUUGGUUCUGGCAUCGAUGAAGAACGCAGCAUCUGACUGACUUGGGAUGCAUGCAUCUCGUAUGC